AAUGGUAUAUAGAUUAAAAAUGCAGGCACUCAGCUUUUCCUGGAGAUAUUUCACGUGUGGCGAGGCUGCCACAUGUCAGUUAUUUAAAACAAACCCAACCAACUAAUGCCGAGGUAGAAGAAAAAUGACUUGAUACAAUUCAUGACUGAAACCUGUAGCUCUUGCAGAGGUUCUAGCCUGGCUCUGGAGGAGAUGCUGUUUCAGCAUGCCUUCUGCUGACCAAUAUGCAGACAGAUGACAGCUCACAGCAUCCAGCCCUCCCCAGGAGUACCUGGCCCUACCCUCACCACCUCUGUUGUUGCCUUUCUUCCUUCCUCCCUGAUGUGCACCCAUCCUCACUCUUCAUGCUUUCCUACUUGAUUUAUCUGACCUUUAUGGCGUUUCCUUUCCCGUUUUCUUCUGUAUGUUGCUCAGAGAAGAUAGAUGGUGGGAAAACCCUAAAGCAGAGGGAAUGGCUAUGGGCUGAUGGUUCCAGGAACCUGUUGAAGCUACCAAGUUUUGCAAGCUGCCUCUCUAAGUCAGUCUUGGGUAUUUAAUGGGAACUUUGGACCAAACUGUACAUUCUCAAAUCGCAUUCAUUAAUGAGAGCCAUAGUAUGUGUCCAAGAUAGUUUUGCCAAGUCAUCCAGCAUACUGAGCAAUGAAACGCUGACUGGAGGCAGUGGGGACAACAUCCUGAGAGCCACCACAGUUAGUCACCAACAUGGUAGGAACCACCAGGAACCACCAUCACCACAAAAUCCAUCACCAGAACAAAUAACCCCCUGAAAUGUUGCUUAUGUUGCUCAGGAGGAUUGAGAACACGCUUCUGGAUGUGAAGAAAAAAUAAAUCAUGUCAUUCUACUGCCAAAAACUCUGGCAUGUACUGUUUAAUGUAUACAUAUUUUCCUUUGGACAGAUGUGGCCAUAAGUUCCUCAGAACAUUCCUGCAUAAAAUGGAAGCAUAGUAUGCAAUACAGCAUGCGGCAGAUGCAUUCAAGCAGGGUUGAACAGAGGACAAUAACGUUUUCUGUGCCACAUUAGUAUCUCAGUGAUAUAUUAAGUGGGAAUGAAAAUCACGAUAAGCAGUGUGAACGCCAUUCACUCCAAAAGUCAGUAUUUAAAAUCCUGAUGAAUUUUGCUAUUCUGUAUCUGAAUGAAUAGCUAGGAGUGCCAUGAUAUGCCCAUUUGACAGCCAUGGGAGGUAAUAUAGAGAAGACAGCCUCAGGCAUGGAUCUGCAGUCACUGCCAGUGAUCAUUUAAGUACACUAUUCUCACAGAGAAGAAGCAGCAGAGACAAACGGAUUCUGUCUGGGCUUUGCUCAGAACCAGGUCUAAUUCCCACAGAAAGAUUGUGUGGACCAGAAUUGCCCAAGCUGGCCAUGAAACUGAUGUCCUUCAACUGAUGUCCAAACAGUGUUAAGUGAUGUCAAGCUUCUUGAAGAUUGCGCCUUGUGGUCCUAUACUCAUGCAGUCUAUUCUCUGGAGAAGAGUGCUCAGAUUGAGAUGGUUUGGAUGAUAAAGAAUUUGAACCAAUCUGUGGGUUUUUCUCCAGAUGGGAGCAGAUAAGGCACAAUGCAGUGCUUUAGAUGUGGGCACAAGGUUCUGCUGGGUGCAAGAGUUAUGAAAUAAACCUUCCUAGACUCAUAGUGUGCAAGGGCACAGAGCAGGUUUUCUCAGUAGAUUUAAAAUUCUUCAAUACUACAGUUAAUCUAAAAAUCUCAGAAUAUGAGAUUCCUCCUGCUCUUCCUGUUGAAUCCAUAGCAGUUCUUUAACUCUUUCUAGAUGACUCUCAUUACUGUGAAGUAGUCCUAAGAGAAUGAAAAACAUGAAAAGUCCAGAUGUCUCUAGAUACAAGCAGAAGAAAUACACACGAAUAUGAAGUAUCACAGCACAGCUUUUAUUUUUCCUUUUUCUCUGAAGUUUCCUCUAGAGUAUUAUUCUACAUUUGAGUGAGUUACAAAUUACAUUUCUAUUAAUUUUACUCAUUAGCUCUGCCACUAGUAGUUUAACUGAGCACUCAUUGUAGUUACAAAUAACACAGCCAAGAUAUGGUUAAAAAGCCAAGUCCAUGUGGAUUGGUGGGACUAGGCUGGUCCCCCUGUUCUGGAGAGCUCACUAUACAUUGGACAUCGUUCCUCCAGUUCUCACACUAACAGACAGACUCGAACAGUCACCUCAGAUGCACCUGAAGCAGAUGCUGCAUUUGAAAGUUUUCUUCAAACAACAGUGAAUUAUUUCAUGUUAUUGUGCUAUAAGCUUUAAAGAGCUUCUGUGCUUUUUUAAAAAUGUCAAAAUACAAAGAGUAAUGCAAUAGUCUUUCUAUAGAGGAGUGGGUUAUAAAUAAAGCUGUGAAAAAGUGUUGAUUCA